rnacentral:rRNA from 1 species
UACCAGCACCCCGAGUGGUCGGGACGUUUUAUUGGGCCUAAAGCAUCCGUAGCCGGUUCUACAAGUCUUCCGUUAAAUCCAACUGCUUAACAGGUGGGCUGCGGAAGAUACUAUAGAGCUAGGAGGCGGGAGAGGCAAGCGGUACUCGACGGGUAGGGGUAAAAUCCGUUGAUCCAUUGAAGACCACCAGUGGCGAAGGCGGCUUGCCAGAACGCGCUCGACGGUGAGGGAUGAAAGCUGGGGGAGCAAACAGG